UAGAUUAAUGAUGAGUAUUCUGAGAUGUCUGGAUCAAAGAUUUUAAUUAAACUCUGACUUUGAGGUCCAU
ensembl:snoRNA small nucleolar RNA, C/D box 113-2